UUGGAUGUGGGUCAGAACUAUUUACAGCUGCCCAAGCCAUCCUUUGUGUAUUUUUGCUUCUUUCAGUCCUUCUUGGUAACAGGCAUCUGACUCAGGAUGGAGCAGUGUAAUUUGGGAGGACCAAGGAGGGUAACUCACCCCAAAUAUCUCCAGCUGCCCAACCAGCGCCAAGUGAGCACAAAUGCCCAGUCUUCUCACAAGGACUUUUGGUGUCAUUUUGUGAGCCAGGAAGGUGCCUUUACAGCUGACAAUUACAUAUCCAUUGAGGAAACGUAAUAAAAACCAUCCCUCCCCUCA